UUUAUACUUCCUCCGUCCGGAUAUACUUGUCAUCAAAAUGGAUAAAAAGGAUGUAUCUAGAACUUUUUAUCCAUUUUGAUGACAAGUAUUUUCGGACGGAGGAAGUAUUAG
rfam:Triticum aestivum genome assembly, contig: Triticum_aestivum_CS42_TGACv1_scaffold_147285_2BS